GUUGUGCUACGGCGUUGGUGACUGCCAAUAUUGUUUUGUGAUCUACAAUUACAAAACAUUUGGGAACUGCGGUUGUGGGCGGCGGUAUACUGGCCUUGCUGUCAGAAACUAUACGUCUGUGCCAAGGAUCCCCCCUGGUUUUCCAGGUCAUAAACUGAGGUAAAACGGCGUCGCGGUCAGCCU
rnacentral:other from 1 species